rnacentral:rRNA from 1 species
UACGGAGGAUCCAAGCGUUAUCCGGAUUUAUUGGGUUUAAAGGGUGCGUAGGCGGUUUUUUAAGUUAGAGGUGAAAUCCCGUGGCUCAACCACGGAACUGCCUCUGAUACUGGAGAGCUAGCGAGUAGAUGCUGUAGGCGGAAUGUGUGGUGUAGCGGUGAAAUGCUUAGAGAUCACACAGAACACCGAUUGCGAAGGCAGCUUACAAAUCUACAUCGGACGCUGAGGCACGAAAGCGUGGGGAGCAAACAGG